rnacentral:rRNA from 1 species
GUUGGCGGAUGAGUUGUGGCUAGGGGGGAAAUUCCAAUCGAACCCGGAGAUAGCUGGUUCUCCCCGAAAUAGCUUUAGGGCUAGCGUCGAGGUAGAGAGUUGCGUGAAGGUAGAGCACUGAAUAUGUGAUGGCCCCAUCUCGGGGUACUGAGCAUAAUCAAACUGCGAAUGUCACGGAAACAUACUCGGCAGUCAGACAGCGGGUGAUAAGGUCCGUUGUCAAGAGGGAAACAGCCCAGACCAUCAGCUAAGGUCCCAAAAUGUAUGCUAAGUGGAAAAGGAUGUGGAGAUGUACAGACAACUAGGAGGUUGGCUCAGAAGCAGCCAUCCUUUAAAGAGUGCGUAACAGCUCACUAGUCGAAUGACUCUGCGCCGAUAAUUUACCGGGGCUAAGCAUACUACCGAAGCUAUGGAUCCCAAGGGAUGGUAGGGGAGCGUUCCAUGAACGGAGAAGCGCGAUCGAGAGGACGCGUGGAGAUCAUGGAAGAGAGAAUGCCGGUGUGAGUAGCGGAACGUGGGUGAGAAUCCCACGCACCGAAAACCCAAGGUUUCCAGAGGAAGGUUCGUCCGCUCUGGGUAAGUCGGGACCUAAGGCGAGGCCGAGAGGCGUAGUCGAUGGACAACAGGUAGAGAUUCCUGUACUCAUAUAUAUGUGAAGGAAUGACGGAGAGAGGAAGCUGCAGCCAGCGGCUGGAAGAGCUGGUGCAAGCGAGAUAUCGGGAUGGCAGGCAAAUCCACCAUCCGAAACGAGAAGGCGUGAAGCGUACGGAAAGCUAAGGCGAGUACGGAAGGCAGUGGAGGAGCUUCCAAGAAAAGUUUCUAACGAAAGUAUAUGUGACCCGUACCGAAAAUGGACACACAUGGGUGAGGAGAGAAUCCUAAGGUGAGCGAGAGAACUAUAGCUAAGGAACUCUGCAAAAUGACUCCGUAACUUAGGGAGAAGGAGUGCUCAUAGAGAUAUGAGCCGCAGUGAAACGGCCCAAGCGACUGUUUACCAAAAACACAGCUCUCUGCUAAGCCGCAAGGCGAAGUAUAGGGGGUGACGCCUGCCCGGUGCUGGAAGGUUAAGGGGAGGGGUUAACGCAAGUGAAGCCCUGAACUGAAGCCCCAGUAAACGGCGGCCGUAACUAUAACGGUCCUAAGGUAGCGAAAUUCCUUGUCAGGUAAGUUCUGACCCGCACGAAAGGCGUAACGAUUUGGGCGCUGUCUCAGCUGUAGACUCGGUGAAGUCUUAGUACCUGUGAAGAUGCAGGUUACCCGCGACUAGACGGAAAGACCCCAUGGAGCUUCACUGCAGGUUGAUAUUGGGAUUUGAUGCAGCAUGUACAGGAUAGGUAGGAGGCAAAGAGAUGGAUACGCCAGUAUUCAAGGAGCCGCUGUUGGGAUACUACCCCUGUUGUAUUGGAUUUCUAACCGGACGACGUAAAGCCGUUGACGGGACAGUGUCAGUCGGGCAGUUUGACUGGGGCGGUCGCCUCCCAAAGAGUAACGGAGGCGCCCAAAGAUACCCUCAGCUUGGAUGGAAACCAAGCGCAGAGUGCAAAGGCAAAAGGGUGUUUGACUGCGAGACCUACAAGUCGAGCAGGGACGAAAGUCGGGCUUAGUGAUCCGGCGGUGCUGAAUGGAAAGGCCGUCGCUCAACGGAUAAAAGCUACCCUGGGGAUAACAGGCUGAUCUCCCCCAAGAGUUCACAUCGACGGGGAGGUUUGGCACCUCGAUGUCGGCUCAUCGCAUCCUGGAGCUGAAGUCGGUUCCAAGGGUUGGGCUGUUCGCCCAUUAAAGCGGUACGCGAGCUGGGUUCAGAACGU